rnacentral:rRNA from 1 species
UACGUAGGCAGCAAGCGUUGUUCGGAAUUACUGGGCGUAAAGAGUGUGUAGGCGGUGCUCUAAGUUCGUUGUGAAAUCUCCCGGCUUAACUGGGAGGGUGCGGCGGAAACUGGAGUGCUUGAGCGCGGGAGAGGAAAGCGGAAUUCCUGGUGUAGCGGUGAAAUGCGUAGAUAUCUGGAGGAAUACCGGUGGCGAAGGCGGCAUCCUGGACCGGCAUUGACGCUGAGGGAGCGAAAAGCCAGGGGGAGCAAACGGG